CCUACGGGUGGCAGCAGUGGGGAAUAUUGCACAAUGGGGGAAACCCUGAUGCAGCGACGCCGCGUGAGUGAAGAAGUAAGUCGGUAUGUAAAGCUCUAUCAGCAGGGAAGAAAAUGACGGUACCUGAGUAAGAAGCCCCGGCUAACUACGUGCCAGCAGCCGCGGUAAUACGUAGGGGGCAAGCGUUAUCCGGAUUUACUGGGUGUAAAGGGAGCGUAGACGGCAGUGCAAGUCUGGAGUGAAAGGCGGGGGCUCAACCCCCGGACUGCUCUGGAAACUGUACGGCGGGAGUGCAGGAGAGGUAAGUGGAAUUCCUAGUGUAGCGGUGAAAUGCGUAGAUAUUAGGAGGAACACCAGUGGCGAAGGCGGCUUACUGGACUGUAACUGACGUUGAGGCUCGAAAGCGUGGGGAGCAAACAGGAUUAGAUACCAUGGUAGUC
rnacentral:rRNA from 1 species